CAGGCCUAACACAUGCAAGUCGAACGGUAACGCGGGGGCAACCCUGGCGACGAGUGGCGAACGGGUGAGUAAUACAUCGGAACGUACCCAGUAGUGGGGGAUAGCCCGGCGAAAGCCGGAUUAAUACCGCAUACGACCUAUGGGUGAAAGCGGGGGAUCGCAAGACCUCGCGCUAUUGGAGCGGCCGAUGUCGGAUUAGCUAGUUGGUGGGGUAAAAGCUCACCAAGGCGACGAUCCGUAGCUGGUCUGAGAGGACGACCAGCCACACUGGGACUGAGACACGGCCCAGACUCCUACGGGAGGCAGCAGUGGGGAAUUUUGGACAAUGGGCGAAAGCCUGAUCCAGCCAUGCCGCGUGUGUGAAGAAGGCCUUCGGGUUGUAAAGCACUUUUGUCCGGAACGAAACGGCGAGAGCGAAUACCUCUCGCUAAUGACGGUACCGGAAGAAUAAGCACCGGCUAACUACGUGCCAGCAGCCGCGGUAAU
rnacentral:rRNA from 1 species